rnacentral:rRNA from 1 species
UCUUCGGAGAGUUUGAUCCUGGCUCAGGAUGAACGCUGGCGGCGUGCCUAAUACAUGCAAGUCGAGCGAACUGAUUAGAAGCUUGCUUCUAUGACGUUAGCGGCGGACGGGUGAGUAACACGUGGGCAACCUGCCUGUAAGACUGGGAUAACUCCGGGAAACCGGAGCUAAUACCGGAUAACAUUUUUUCUUGCAUAAGAGAAAAUUGAAAGAUGGUUUCGG